AUCUUGCGCAAUGGGCGAAAGCCUGACGCAGCAACGCCGCGUGCGGGAGGAAGGCCUUCGGGUUGUAAACCGCUUUCAGCAGGGACGAAAAUGACGGUACCUGCAGAAGAAGCCCCGGCUAACUACGUGCCAGCAGCCGCGGUAAUACGUAGGGGGCAAGCGUUGUCCGGAUUUAUUGGGCGUAAAGAGCUCGUAGGCGGUUCCGUAAGUUGAGAGUCAAAUCUCUGGGCUCAACCCAGAGCCGCUCUCAAUACUGCGGUGACUCGAGUCCGGUAGAGGAGUGUGGAAUUCCUGGUGUAGCGGUGAAAUGCGCAGAUAUCAGGAGGAACACCAACGGCGAAGGCAGCACUCUGGGCCGGUACUGACGCUGAGGAGCGAAAGCGUGGGGAGCGAACAGG
rnacentral:rRNA from 1 species